GUGUAGUAUAAAAGGAGAGACGUAUAGCAGUUUCCUAGACAAGAAUGGAAACACAUAUAAAUUGGUAAAGCACUGUCGUCAUUUUAGAACACUUUAUCACAUUUUUCUU
rnacentral:ncRNA from 1 species